AUUGAACGCUGGCGGCAGGCCUAACACAUGCAAGUCGAGCGGAGCGGCGGACGGGUGAGUAAUGUGUGGGAACCUGGCUGAUGGAGGGGGAUAACUACUGGAAACGGUAGCUAAUACCGCAUACUAUCAGAUUUUGCCAGAUGGGAUGAGCUGGUAGGUGGGGUAACGGCGCACCUAGGCGACGAUCCCUAACUGGGCUGAGAGGAUGAUCAGUCACACUGGAACUGAGACACGGUCCAGACUCCUACGGGAGGCAGCAGUGGGGAAUAUUGGACAAUGGGCGAAAGCCUGAUCCAGACCUGCCGCGUGUGUGAAGAAGGUCUUCGGAUUGUAAAGCACUUUAAGUUGGGAGGCGUUACCAACAGAAUAAGCACCGGCUAACUUCGUGCCAGCAGCCGCGGUAAUAC
rnacentral:rRNA from 1 species